CGUGUCUCCUUCUCUGCCGUCGUCGUCAUCUCAUCUCCGUCGUCGUCCUCGUCGUCUCCUCUCCGUCGUCGUCGUCGUGACGGGGUCGCCGACAUGUAUCUAGACUUGUGUUCGGUGGGAUGUUUGGUGCUGGAGAUCUACACGGGCGUGCGUCUGUGGAAAGGUGUUCAUCUCAAUCUUAGCUACUCGUCUCCGUUGUGGUGAAGCUGUGUCUGUGGAAUGUGUGAACAUAUGCAAUCUAACGAAAGGAGACGGGAAUGUAAGAAGUGAUUGCAGUGUUCUCUCCUGUGCUUGGAAAGCUCCUAGAGCCUUAACUGGGUUUCUAGCUAGCACUGCUCAUCCGCCUGUGUGUUCUUUGUAUCUAUGUGGCCGAAUUGGAAAAAAGAGUAGAGUAAAAUCUGUAAGUAUUAUUUCUUCUUUUUGCUUUGUUUCAGUCUUCUAGUUAUUCUUAAGGUUUUUUUAUUUUGAUUUGCCUCAUUUCAGAAGCAUGCUCGUUCUGAAAAACUAAUGAAGGAAUAAAAGCUUAGAACCAAUGAUGAUGAUGAAGUUGAUGAUCCAGAGAAGCCAUCUCAGGGUUUUUUUUGUGCAUUUGACUAUUUGAGAGCAUGCCAACGAGUUCUUCUGAUGAGUCCUAAUAAAAUUACCGGCUUUAAUGUUAGGAGAAGCAGAUAAAAGGGAACAGAAGAUCACAAAGAAAUGAUAAGAGAUCAUAAAAACAAGGAAUGCUCAGAACCCAAGUGGAUAACCCAGACACUCCAUCUCAGGAGAAGCAGAUAAAGGAAAACAGAAAAUCACGAAGACAGGGUAUGAGAUCACAAAAACAGAAAAAGAUGGAGGUAAAGCAGACGCGACGCCAGAAUCUAGAAAGAAAAUGCGUCAAACUAAGGAUUGAGACUAUUGUGUAUCUCUCCUUUCAAUAUGAAAGAUUCAUUUUCAUAUUUUCUUGAGGAAAAAUAGUAGGAGAGUGGGUUGGAUAUGCGUCAGUUUUUUACUUAUCUACAAAAUAUUUUGCUUGUAACUGAUAUAUGGUUUUGAUUAAUUCAGAUUUGAGUUAUAUACAAUUUUUGUGUGUUUCUUUUUUUUUAUGCAAUUUGGAUCUUGUCUAGACUUGAUGUUAUUACGUUCUUUUGAACCUCUUACUCUUUUAUCUCCUGAUUCCAAUUAACUUUUGACUGAAACCUUCCAAUGCAUAACCAAUUAAUUUUUCUGGAAGCCCUU